rnacentral:lncRNA from 12 species
AUGGGAGGGAAAAGUUCCAGCCUUGAGAACGCCGAGAAUUCCCGGAUUUCUGCAUUUCCCGAAGUUUUUUCCAGCCAGGAAUUUUCCUGCGCUGCCUCAUGCCAGGCCAUGUCCACAGCUGGAAUUUUGGGAUCGCUGCUCCAAGUGGAGGAAAACUUCUCCUCCUGCCUGGCCCGGAUCGACGCCCUCAUCCUCAAACCUCUGCUCCAGGCAGAGCCCCACGAUCCCAAGGAAAAGGAGAACUUCCAGCUCUUGGUGCUCCUCAACGAUCGUUUCCAAGCCCUCUGGAAUUUCACAGAAGAAAAUUCUCGGAACCUGAGGGGAAAACGAGGCAGCUCCGACUCCGGCUGCAUCCAGGAUUUUUACAUCCUCUGGAAAGGAGAUCUUUUCCUGAGCCUCUACAUCCAAUAUUUCGUCACCUUCGCCAACUUUGUCGUGGUCCAGGGCUUCGAGCAGGCCACCAAGAGCAAGAGUGAGGCCUGGAAGCUCCACAAGGCGCUGCUGAAGGAAUUCCUGCGGGAUUUCACCUCGGAGAGCUCCCUGGCGCCCGCCCUGCACGCUGCCCUCCACAAACCCUUCCGGGAUCACAUCCAGAGCUACCUCCAGCUCCUCUCCCAGCUCCAGGGGCAGCUCCAGGAGGGAUCUGAGCAGGAUGUGGUGGCUGCUGUCAUCCGGGAAUUUGGGAAGCUGGAAUCUUUCAUCAGCCAGGUCCUGGAUGAAGCCUGCUUUACCAAGGAGCUCUGGAAAUCCUUGGGCUACAAAUUCACCGUGAGUCCAGAGGGAAUUUGGGAUGAAUUGGGAAUUUGGGAUGGAUUGGGAAUUUGAUAUGGAUGAGGAAUUUGGUAUGGGUCGGGAAUUUGCUGUGGAUGAGGAAUUUGAUAAGGAUGAGAAAGCUGAAGUGGGUCAGGAAUUUGAUAUGGAUGAGGAAUUUGGUACGGACUGGGAAUUUAAUGUGGGUCAGGAAUUUGCUGUAGAUCGGGAAUUUGAGGCUGAAAUUCAAUAGAGCAAAGUUGGUGGAGGAGCUGGAGAAACUCUCUGGGGGCUUAAAGAAGAAUUUGUUUCCCAAGUGUGUCACUGUCACUGGAAUCCUGAGCCAGAGGGAAUUUGAUAUGGAUUGGGAAUUUGAUAUGGAUCGGGAAUUUGAUAUGGAUUUGAUAUGGAUUAAGGAUUUGAGACUGGAAUUCCUUAGAGCAGAGCUGGGUGGAAAAAUUGGAGAAACUCCCUGGGGGUUUAAAGCCAAGUUGGUGUCCCAAGUGUGUCAGUGUCACUGGAACUCGAAGUCAGAGGGAAUUUGAUUUGGAUUGGGAAUUUGAUAUGGAUUGGGAAUUUGAGGCUGGAAUUCAGCAGAGCAGAGCUGGGUGGAAAAAGUGGAAAAGUUGGAGAAACUCCCUGGUGUGGGGGCUCAAAGAGGAAUUUGUGUCCCAAGUGUGUCACUGUCACUGGAAUCCUGAGCCAGAGGGAAUUUGAUAUGGAUCAGGAAUUUGAUAUGGAUUUGAUAUGGAUUAAGGAUUUGAGGCUGGAAUUCUGUGGAGCAGAGCUGGGUGGAAGAAUUGGAGAAAGUCCAUGGGGGUUUUAAUUUUGUGUUCCAAGUGUGUCAGUGUCACUGGAACCCCAAGUCAGAGGGAAUUUGAUAUGGAUCGAGAGUUUGCUAUGGAUGAGGAAUUUGAUAUGGAUCAGGAAUUAUAUAUGGAUUUGAUAUGGAUUAAGGAUUUGAGGCUGGAAUUCUGUGGAACAGAGCUGGGUGAUGGAAGAGUUGGAGAAACUCCCUGGGGGUUUAAAGCCAAGUUGGUGUCCCAAAUGCAUCACUGUCACUGGAACCCCAGGUCAGCUGUUCCUUGCAGGAACUCCUGCCUGGAAUUCCAUGUCCUCUCCCAAUCCUGGCUUUUCCCAGGACGUGCUGUGUGUCCCUGAGAGGAGGCUCCUGGAGGACAGCAGGAACCUCCCCAUCUCUUCUGGCAGCGCCCGCUCCGAGCGGCUCCUGCUCUUCGACGACGUCCUGGUGCUCAUCCAGGUCAGGCCGGGAUCCUCCGGAGGGACUGGGGAGGGAGCACGGAUAAACAACACUAAAACUCCAGUGGAGUGGCAGAAAUGACAGGAAUUUC